ensembl:lncRNA
GGGAGACGAAGGCGCACUCCGCUGCUUUCAGAUCCUUCGUUCCACGAAGGUCCAGGUCUGAGCCCGAACAACAUAGGGGUCCUGGCCUGUCUCGAUCUGAGGAUCAAAGACGGGCACAGAAGGCUAGUGUCGCGACUCACGCUCCUCCCCCCACCUGCGGGCAGGGUUAAGAGGAAUUGUGGGUCAAAAGGGGGUAAGCAGAACCUAAGGGAUGUGAUCCAGACGAGGCAGCGUUCUCGUCUGAGUCAGAGUGAUACUGAGGUAUCUACUCGUUCCCUUUAGGGAUUUUUAACUUCUGCUUUUAUCCUCCCCUUCCUAAUUCCCCUGUAACCACCAGCUCUCCACCUGAUCGAGGUUAGGUGGAAACCUCUAACGCAUAACAGUCUCCUAUGCUGGACCUAUAAUGUUUUUGGCUGGUUCUAUGUUCAUAGCAACCACCUUACUGAUGGUCCGGACUAAAAGGAGGCGCCCCUUGAGCGGGGCUCCAG